rnacentral:rRNA from 1 species
AGCAGCCGCGGUAAUUCCAGCUCCGAUAGCGUAUAUUAAAGUUGUUGCAGUUAAAAAGCUCGUAGUUGAAUUUCGGGAUCAAUACGUCGGUCGUGCUUCGGUACGUACUGGCGUCAUUGAUUUCUCCCUUCUGACGAACCAUGAUGUCAUUAACUUGGUGUCAUGGGAAAUCAGGACUGUUACUUUGAAAAAUUAGAGUGUUUAAAGCAGGCUCACGCUUGAAUACAUUAGCAUGGAAUAAUGAAAUAGGACGUUCGAUCCUAUUUUGUUGGUUUUAGGAUCAACGUAAUGAUUAAUAGGGAUAGUUGGGGGCAUUAGUAUUCAAUUGUCAGAGGUGAAAUUCUUGGAUUUAUUGAAGACUAACUACUGCGAAAGCAUUUGCCAAGGAUGUUUUCAUUAAUCAAGAACGAAAGUUAGGGGAUCGAAGAC